GGGAUCUGGGCUGACUGCCCAGCAUCCCUGUGAUAAAGGUGUGGAGAACACGGUCCUAUCCACACCUCCCGUGCCACAAACCUCAGGGGAUUGUGGGCAGAGACCAACUCUCCUGCCAGCUCUUCUGCUGAGGGUGCACCCUGCCGCUGGAGAGGUAGGCCGAUUGUCUCCGUUCCCAGUAACACAAGCUGUUGCAGGGCAGGCAGGCUAACAUUCUCUGAUGUAAAGUCAAUGAAAUUUGUGGGCACAUCCUCCUAGAUCAGUUGCUCCACCUCUGCCUCCACCUCUUUUCGCUGGAGACCUCCUUCCCUCAUCUUUGCCAUCAGGAACUUGUGGUCUCUCUUGGCUUGUAUAUCAACAGUCUCCUGGUUGUCUGGAAGGUCUCCAUCAAAACAUUAGAGCCAUACCAGGCCAGUCGCUCCUGCACCUCGAACAGAAACUCUGAGUAAGAGUCAGAGGAUGCAAUGGUUGCCUGCUCUAAGACUGUGGGCACCUCUGCUUAUGUAUUUCCCCUGAAGAAAGCCAAUCCCUCUGACAUUCUCUUCUGGAACUCCUUUCCCGAAAAGGACGCUGUACGAGUGGUAGCGCUAUCCCUCUCCAGAAGAUGUGCAGGUAUCCCAGGGAUGUUUCCCCAGUCGCUAGGAAGCCAUCCCACCGCUGCCACCAUUUCCCUGGAACUAUUUUGGGCUUCUACGUCGUGGCCGGCCAGUCACAACUUUACCCCAGUGGCAAUUUCCUACCACCGAACCAAUCUGAGCGCUAUUUGGAUAUGUUGGACGCUCAGAUCAGGGCUAUCCGGGGGUAUGAAUAUUGAGGGGUUUCCAUGUAUUUUGGGGUUACUUUUGGGCUGUUGUAAGAUUCAUUCUGUUUUUCUGUACCUGAGAGAUAAUUUAGUUACAGUUUCCUAACUCAAUUUUGUCUCAGGCACGCUAUUUCUGUAUGGAGAGCACUUGCCGGGGGUCUGUGUUUAAAUUGAGAGUGCUUGCCUGAAAUAAACAGAUCUACUCCCAGUAUUCAGUCUCGACUAAUGUAUGGGGGGGGAGGUGGGAGCUAUACCAGCUAUAAUCACUUCCACAACUUGGUAGAGCUACUUCACACUGGGAAGGGAGUCCGUGGUGGCGAUAUACUGGCGGUACGCCACAGAACUGAAAUCUGACAUGCUACCUCGCGAACACUGCUGAACUUGUACCGCCGCCUGCUUCCCUCCUAAAUAAGCCAGGAGAACGCUUUUCAGGACAACAACUCAUAGGAACAAGAGGAGCAUUUGCUCCCUAGAGCCAGGGGGAGCAUUUGGUUUUAUGCACACAGUGUGGCGAAACCAACCUCGCCACUGGGCAUUGGAGAAGCCUGUUUGCCUGCCUGCUGACUAUGGCCCCUGGGAGAUUUGGCCCUUUAAAUACAGUAUUUGGGCAUAUUGUAUUUUAUUAUGCUGCUGCUGGCCAUUUUAACUCACAGACACUGUUUGGACUUUUCUACACGGUGCCAUCUCGCCAGUAUUUGGUGCAUGAAGACAUCGUUCAGUAGUUUCAAACUAUACAACAGGGGACACAUUAUACAGUAAUUAUUUUUCAUAUAGCCUGUAUAUGUUCUGCGUAAUCUGCCAAAUUACUGAACGGAUCUGGGUGAAUUUUGGAUAUGUGGUUCACCCAGAUCCCCUGGUUCCGAGGAUAUACUAUACUAUUUUUAUGGGGUUAUUGCAUGUUUUGGGGUCCCUGUGAUAUGUUUUAUAAUACUGUACUUCUCUGCCUGUGAUAAUUAGAUUAACCAUUGUGUUCAGUAAUCAUAUCACAGGCAGAGGGGGGGAUUUUGUGUGGGAGUGUCUGUGUGUAUUGUACGGAUUGAUUGGUUGUAUUUCAAAACCCUGUGGGCAGUACUAUGUUUGUGGAUUGUGAAUAAAAGAGGCUGUAUGUGCCAGU